CCUACGGGAGGCAGCAGUGGGGAAUAUUGCACAAUGGGCGCAAGCCUGAUGCAGCCAUGCCGCGUGUGUAAAGAAGGCCUUCGGGUCGUAAAGCACUUUCAGCGGGGAGGAAGGCGGUGAGGUUAAUAACCUCAUCGAUUGACGUUACCCGCAGAAGAAGCACCGGCUAACUCCGUGCCAGCAGCCGCGGUAAUACGGAGGGUGCAAGCGUUAAUCGGAAUUACUGGGCGUAAAGCGCACGCAGGCGGUCUGUCAAGUCGGAUGUGAAAUCCCCGGGCUCAACCUGGGAACUGCAUUCGAAACUGGCAGGCUAGAGUCUUGUAGAGGGGGGUAGAAUUCCAGGUGUAGCGGUGAAAUGCGUAGAGAUCUGGAGGAAUACCGGUGGCGAAGGCGGCCCCCUGGACAAAGACUGACGCUCAGGUGCGAAAGCGUGGGGAGCAAACAGGAUUAGAUACCCGGGUAGUC
rnacentral:rRNA from 1 species